GGGUCCUCUUAUCAAGUGCCCUGUAAAGGCGAGGACACUCUGGGGGCUGGUUCUUCCAGCGGAAGGCGAUGGAUCUUUGGUCUCUGAGGACUCAUCAGAGGCAUGAGUUAGCAUUUGUCUGUUUUAUUUUCAGAAAGUCUCUACAAUUAAGAAUUUAUUAAAGAUGGUUUUUCCUGUCUCUGUGGUAUUUGUCACACUGCUUCAAAGUGCUAUAAAGGAGAGAACUACGAAUUAAAUGAUCUUUAUAAUUUACUUAUUGUUAUCCAGGGGGUGUGGAAGCGGUUCCCUUCAGAAGAGAACUUUUUGCAUGCUUGUGGUUGAUCAGUUAAAGACAAUGUUACAGUAACAAAUAAAGUGCAUUUUAAAAUCCAACU